rnacentral:snRNA from 1 species
AUCCUAGUGCACGGGUUUUACACGUAUCAGUGAGGAGACAUCCGAGAUCGUGUUUUUGCUAGUUGAAAACUACCAAAUUGACUACUUCAAGUAGGCCUACGGGCUCGCUUGGGAAUUUUUGAAACACUCUGUA